rnacentral:rRNA from 2 species
GUGAGGUAACGGCUCACCAAGGCAACGAUGCGUACCCAACCUGAGAGGGUGAUCGGCCACACUGGGACUGAAACACGGCCCAAACUCCUACGGGAGGCAGCAGUAGGGAAUCUUCCGCAAUGGACAAAAGUCUGACGGACCACCGCCGCGGGAGUGAUGAAGGUUUUCGGAUCGUAAAACUCUGUUGUUAGGGAAAAACAAGUACCGUUCGAAUAGGGCGGUACCUUGACGGUACCUAACCAAAAAGCCACGGCUAACUACGUGCCAGCAGCCGCGGUAAUACGUAGGUGGCAAGCGUUGUCCGGAAUUAUUGGGCGUAAAGCGCGCGCAGGCGGUUUCUUAAGUCUGAUGUGAAAGCCCCCGGCUCACCCGGGGAGGGUCAUUGGAAACUGGGGAACUUGAGUGCAAAAAAGGAGAGUGGAAUUCCACGUGUAGCGGUGAAAUGCGUAAAGAUGUGGAGGACCACCAGUGGCGAAGGCGACUCUCUGGUCUGUAACUGACGCUGAGGCGCGAAAGCGUGGGGAGCGAACAGGAUUAGAUACCCUGGUAGUCCACGCCGUAAACGAUGAGUGCUAAGUGUUAGAGGGUUUCCGCCCUUUUAGUGCUGCAGCAAACGCAUUAAGCACUCCGCCUGGGGAGUACGGUCGCAAGACUGAAACUCAAAGGAAUUGACGGGGGGCCCGCACAAGC